rnacentral:rRNA from 1 species
AGCGGCAGACGGGUGAGUAACGCGUGGGAACGUACCCUUUACUACGGAAUAACGCAUGGAAACGUGUGCUAAUACCGUAUGUGCCCUUUGGGGGAAAGAUUUAUCGGUAAAGGAUCGGCCCGCGUUGGAUUAGCUAGUUGGUGGGGUAAAGGCCUACCAAGGCGACGAUCCAUAGCUGGUCUGAGAGGAUGAUCAGCCACAUUGGGACUGAGACAC